AUCUUUUUUACAUAUUUGAAAAGCACACGUUUUAAUUAAAAUCUGCUACCGUGUGCGACUCUUAUCCUUGCCCAAGGCUAAGUUGUUUGGGACAGGACCCAAGCUUCGCCCAAGGCUUAUUUCUGGGCUGACGACUCUUUUCACGAACUCUUCUUCUUUUCAUGUUGUUUUUGCUCGUUUCGUCCUUAUAUCCUUUACUGCAACAAAAAAUAAAAAAUUAAUUGGAUUCGAUAACAAACCAUCAAGUUUAAUAACCUAAAAGUGGGUGAUAAUGAUGUUGUUUUUAGGUACUAUCAAACUCCCCCACACUUAUCUUGUUCUUGCCCUCCAGUACUACACAAUAUACUCCAUC
rnacentral:lncRNA from 1 species